ACGAUGUUCCGCUGCCUCUUAGAAGACAUGAGCAUUAG
rfam:Halobacillus karajensis, HD-03, WGS project CCDI01000000 data, contig: 000001